AAACUUUACAAUGCGGGAAACCGUGAUAAGGGGACACCGAGUGCCAGCAUCAUAUGCUGGCUGUCCAGGUGUGUAAAAUACACCUGUUAGCAAGGGCCGGGCAAGACCGGUGCCAGCCGCCGCGGUAACACCGGCGGCCCGAGUGGUGAUCGUGAUUAUUGGGUCUAAAGGGUCCGUAGCCGGUUUGGUCAGUCCUCCGGGAAAUCUGAUAGCUUAACUAUUAGGCUUUCGGAGGAUACUGCCAGACUUGGAACCGGGAGAGGUAAGAGGUACUACAGGGGUAGGAGUGAAAUCUUGUAAUCCCUGUGGGACCACCUGUGGCGAAGGCGUCUUACCAGAACGGGUUCGACGGUGAGGGACGAAAGCUGGGGGCACGAACCGGAUUAGAUACCCGGGUAGUCCCAGCCGUAAACGAUGCUCGCUAGGUGUCAGGCAUGGCGCGACCGUGUCUGGUGCCGCAGGGAAGCCGUGAAGCGAGCCACCUGGGAAGUACGGCCGCAAGGCUGAAACUUAAAGGAAUUGGCGGGGGAGCAC
rnacentral:rRNA from 1 species